rnacentral:rRNA from 1 species
UGGGGAAUAUUGCACAAUGGAGGGAACUCUGAUGCAGCGACGCCGCGUGAACGAAGAAGGCUUUCGAGUCGUAAAGUUCUUUUAUAUGGCAAGAUAAUGACGGUACCAUAAGAAAAAGCCCCGGCUAACUACGUGCCAGCAGCCGCGGUAAUACGUAGGGGGCUAGCGUUGUCCGGAAUCACUGGGCGUAAAGGGUUCGCAGGCGGAAAUGCAAGUCAGGUGUAAAAGGCAGUAGCUUAACUACUGUAAGCAUUUGAAACUGCAUAUCUUGAGAAGAGUAGAGGUAAGUGGAAUUUUUAGUGUAGCGGUGAAAUGCGUAGAUAUUAAAAAGAAUACCGGUGGCGAAGGCGACUUACUGGGCUCAUUCUGACGCUGAGGAACGAAAGCGUGGGUAGCAAACAGG